AGCGCUCCCGCGUGGGCGGUGUCAGAUUGGAUCCAGACGUGAGGAGAAAGGCAAGGACAUCUUCAGAGAGGCCACGUGAAACUGCAGCAUCUCUGGUCUGUCCAGGCUAAUGAUUCUCAGUCAGGGGUGAUUUUGCUCCUCAGGGAACACUGAACAACAUCUAGAGACAUUUUUUGAUGGCCAUGUCCAGGAGGAUGACAAUGGCAUUUGGUGAUAUUGUGGGCAGAGGCCAGAGAUGCUACUAAACAUCCUCCAAGGCACAGCAUCUCCUGCUCUGAACAAAGAAUCAUCUGGUUCACGAUGUCAGCAGUGCUGAGACUGAGAAGCACUGAUCUAGGCUGGACUCUUAGGGGAGGAAGGGAGCAGCUGAAUGAUUGCUGGGUUUUCAGACAAGCCGCAGAAAUACAGGCCGGAGCUUGCAGACCUGAAAGAGCCAGAUGAGAGACCUGCGAGGGGCAGAGAGGAUGAUGGGCAUCUCAGAAGAUGCUCGUGCGGAUGGACGACAUUGAACACCCAAUUGACUUCGAGCUAUAUAGGAAUGUGGCCACAACCCCAGGGAAA
rnacentral:lncRNA from 10 species